rnacentral:lncRNA from 1 species
AGUCCCUUCGCCGCGGGACGCGCGAGACGGGAGAAGGUGCGGGAAGCGGGAAGCAGGAGCGGGAGCGCGCGGCCCUGGCACGCAUAGGGCGGCGGAGAGGGCACGAGCAGGGAUUGAGCACCUACUGUGUGCCUUCACGCUUUACAAAAGGAUUUUCGUUCGAUGUUCACUACAGCCCCUGCCCGGGGGUACUGAUGCCCCAUUUACAGAGGGACAAGCCGGAUUUCGGAGAGGUGAAGUCACUCGCCGAAAGUCGCACCGCCAGGGUCUGCGUGACACCCUAAAGCAGUGUUCAGUUACCCCGGGGAGAGCGCGAUGAACUUGAACCACUUGUUGGCUGGUUCCUGCUCUUGCUCGUUUUUUGCGGAUCGACACAUAGUGGGCGCUCAGGAAAAUAAAUGUUGGAAGCUUGAGAUUGAACUUGACAGCUCGACCCUAGGUACCCGCCACGAAUCCAGCCCAGCCCGCGGGGCACCGGGUUUCUCCAGACCUCGCAGGGAACAUUUGCGGAUGGGCUGGUAGAGGAGGCUCGGACAUCCCAGUUCCGCACCCGCACUCGACCAACGCGUGGUAGCGGAACCCCUGUCGUAGCGAGGCACAGACUGGGUUCAAGUCCCGACUCUGCCGAUUUCAGCCUGAGUGACUUUGAGCGAGUCACUUUUUCCCGUCGAAACCUCAGUUGCUCCAUCCACAAAAUGGGAAAUAUGAACAGCCACCCUAAAACGGUGUGGGGAGGAUUAAACGAAACAACGUUCCCAAAACUCUAAACUUACAAAUGUUGUCUCCCGUCCAUCCCAUAAACUUAGGCGACAAACCUGGCGCAGGGUGACCUGAGACAAAGGCUUCCCGGCCCCUGUCUCCAAGUCGUCCAUCCCUGGGGCGUAGGCACGUUUUAGUGAGCCCUGUCCGGCGAAACCCGAAACUGCGGCCACCUUGGCAGCGGUGGGCCCCAAAAGGAAAUAUUCAAAUAUUCUGAAACUCGUGCAUGAUUUAGGACUGACAUUUUUACGUUUAAUUUUCUUGCAGUUUUAUUCUUGCUAGUAAAGGUAAUUCGUUAGAAACCCUUAAGUGCAGUUUCUCCUCUGUGUCUUGUUUAACUUUUCGUGUUAGCGAAAUUCACAAAUUUGACCAAGGAACCGGAGCGCGGCCGUCCUCGCCGGGAUUCCGGUCAUCGCAAUAAUCUGGCUCUCGGCCCCUACUCCCAGGCACGGAGGUCGAAGAGACGGGCUUCCCCUACACCGCCCUGUGUAGAUGUAGCCUCUUCGUCCCGGCAGCCCUCCGAGAUUCCCUGUGUCCACCGGAGCGAGGAGAGGUGUGGGGCUGCAGCCCAGAACUCAGCUUCCUGGACCUCCCCAAACUCCCGCCUCUCCGGGAUUAAGGGAGUAAAUCCCUGACGCCAAAGACCAGGUCAAGGACAAGUUCUCCCCCGCCCUACUCCCCCCUCCUGGGCGGGGAUUCAUCUCCCUUCCGGAUGAAAGGUACUAAAGAGCCGACGGGGGGCCGCGGCGGGCCCCAGGCCCUUGAUGUUCCGGUUGAACAGGUGCUGGUGAAAAGGAGGCGGACCCGGCGGAAGAGUCUGCCAGGGGGCAGUGCGCCGAAGGGGAGGCGGCCUCCUCCACCCCCAGUCCCCCGGCCCGUCUUCCCUUCUCCUCUCUGUUUGCCCCUCCCCCGCAGGAAGCGUUCCCGGCCGCGAGGUCUUUGAAGUGUCGUUGAAGCCCCCAGGGCUGCCUUCUCCCCUACGCCACCCGAACUCCCGCUGUGGGGGGCGGGUGACCUUUAGUCCCCACGAGUCGUCCCCCUUUAGGAAGUUUUUGGGGGUCAGAUCUCACCCCCCCUUGCCCACACAGGUUGGGAAGAAGACUUUGGGCCGACGCCCCUCACUUCUCCCCCAGACCCAAUUGCAGGGACUUUAGUCCUCUGGAGUGCUGCGUGUGAGUUACCUUGUGUGUCUGUGUGCGUGCCUAGAGGUCAAGUGUAACUGGUGUUCGUGAGCACCUCGUGGUUGCGGGUCUCUAACUCUCGUGGGUCUCUAAGCGCACCCGCGGGGCUGGAGCGGAGGUUCGUGUCUCUGGGAGGGUCAGUGGUGUGACUGAAGCUGGGAGUUAGCUCGUGUCUGUGGGUGCCUCGGUGUGUGUCUCUGGGGCUCUGAGUCCCUGUGCGUGCGUGUGUGUCUGUGAACCCGACAGGAAGCUCCCCGAGGGCAGGAAUAUGUUUUGCUCUCUACUCGAUCCCAGCGACUGGCAACGAGCGUUUAAUAAAUAUCUGUUGAAUGAAUAAA